UACGUAGGGGGCAAGCGUUGUCCGGAAUCAUUGGGCGUAAAGAGCGUGUAGGCGGUUCGGUAAGUCGGCUGUGAAAGUCCAGGGCUCAACCCUGGGAUGCCGGUGGAUACUGUCGAGCUCGAGUCCGGAAGAGGCGAGUGGAAUUCCUGGUGUAGCGGUGAAAUGCGCAGAUAUCAGGAGGAACACCAAUGGCGAAGGCAGCUCGCUGGGACGUGACUGACGCUGAGACGCGAAAGCGUGGGGAGCAAACAGG
rnacentral:rRNA from 1 species